GAGAAAAACAGGUGCAAUCCGCAAAAGCAUGAAGGGUGUAAACGUGAACAGUGGUGGUGUAAUAGACUCAGACAAGAAAAACACAAAUAGUUCUAUAAAUCACACAAAAAAGGGGCGGAAAUCAACUAAGGGGUGCAUGAAGAAGGACGAAUCUGAAAUCUAGUCCUAGCCCAAGUAAAUGCGAUGAGAAACCCUAAUUAAUCUAACCCUAAUCUCUUCUUGAUUAGCAAAGCAGAUCCCCAAAUCACAUGGAUCCUUUCGCAUGAACAAAGCAAACAUCACCAUCCAUCUAUGUUGCACCCAUUCUGAUCGGUGAUGGACCCUAGCGAAAAUGUCGACCACUGCUAGGAGCUUAGCUGGCAGCGACACAUCUUUCUCUUCCUUCCUCCCCAACGCGAGAUAGGGGUGACUUCUUGCUCGUGUGGCCACUCGACAACUCCGAACUCCCUCACGGUUGCAGGGCCCCGCCCACACGAGGAACUACGUCAAUGAUUCCAGCCGUCGUCGGCGUCCACGCAGGCACCCAUUCAUCUCCAAUCCUCAGUCUUUUUCUUACGCGAGAGAGAAAGGUGUCAUAGACUCUAUGGCUCGUCAUCAUCGUGCCAACCACCGCGAUUGGGUUUGCAACCGUCAUGCGACCAUACCCCACCGUUUAGAGCUCCGACCCUUCGACAGCACAGCCGUCGGCGAUGAUGUGAGAUGAAGAGGGUGAUGGGUAUGCGUGGUACUGGAGGAAAAUGAUUUUGAGAUUAGAUGAUGAGUAUAAAGGGAGGUGUUCUAAUGGCCAAAUGGGUGCUGCUUUUGGGUCUCAGUUUUUUUGUUGGUUUUUACAGGUGGAAGACAUGAGCGUGGAGUUUGUAAUAGUGGGGGAACUAGUGAAUGGAUGAUAACCAUUAAUGCAGGUGUGAAUGAAGUGUGUUUUUUUAGGGAAGGAAAUGGAGUAAUGGUGAUGAAGGUGAAUGUCGCUGUCCGAGAAUGAGUGAAUAGGGGAAUGAGGAAUGUAAAACGUGGUGUUAUGAUCAGAUGGAUGUAAAUUUGCUGUUGUGUGUA